rnacentral:rRNA from 1 species
AUUGAACGCUGGCGGCAGGCCUAACACAUGCAAGUCGAGCGGAUGAAGGGAGCUUGCUCCUGGAUUCAGCGGCGGACGGGUGAGUAAUGCCUAGGAAUCUGCCUGGUAGUGGGGGAUAACGUCCGGAAACGGGCGCUAAUACCGCAUACGACCUGAGGUAGAAAGUGGGGGAUCUUCGGACCUCACGCUAUCAGAUGAGCCUAGGUCGGAUUAGCUAGUUGGUGGGGUAAAUGCCUACCAAGGCGACGAUCCGUAACUGGUCUGAGAGGAUGAUCAGUCACACUGGAACUGAGACACGGUCCAGACUCCUACGGGAGGCAGCAGUGGGGAAUAUUGCACAAUGGGCGAAAGCCUGAUCCAGCCAUGCCGCGUGUGUGAAGAAGGUCUUCGGAUUGUAAAGCACUUUAAGUUGGGAGGAAGGGCAGUAAGUUAAUACCUUGCUGUUUUGACGUUACCAACAGAAUAAGCACCGGCUAACUUCGUG